rnacentral:rRNA from 1 species
AGUAGGACGCACAGUUUAUACCGUAGCUUGCUACACCAUAGACUGUGAGUUGCGAACGGGUGAGUAACGCGUAGGUAACCUGCCUAUUAGAGGGGGAUAACUAUUGGAAACGAUAGCUAAUACCGCAUAACAGUAUGUAACACAUGUUAGAUGCUUGAAAGAUGCAAUUGCAUCGCUAGUAGAUGGACCUGCGUUGUAUUAGCUAGUAGGUAGGGUAAUGGCCUACCUAGGCGACGAUACAUAGCCGACCUGAGAGGGUGAUCGGCCACACUGGGACUGAGACACGGCCCAGACUCCUACGGGAGGCAGCAGUAGGGAAUCUUCGGCAAUGGGGGGAACCCUGACCGAGCAACGCCGCGUGAGUGAAGAAGGUUUUCGGAUCGUAAAGCUCUGUUGUUAAGGAAGAACGAGUGUGAGAAUGGAAAGUUCAUACUGUGACGGUACUUAACCAGAAAGGGACGGCUAACUACGUGCCAGCAGCCGCGGUAAUACGUAGGUCCCGAGCGUUGUCCGGAUUUAUUGGGCGUAAAGCGAGCGCAGGCGGUUAGAAAAGUCUGAAGUGAAAGGCAGUGGCUCAACCAUUGUAGGCUUUGGAAACUGUUUAACUUGAGUGCAGAAGGGGAGAGUGGAAUUCCAUGUGUAGCGGUGAAAUGCGUAGAUAUAUGGAGGAACACCGGUGGCGAAAGCGGCUCUCUGGUCUGUAACUGACGCUGAGGCUCGAAAGCGUGGGGAGCGAACAGGAUUAGAUACCCUGGUAGUCCACGCCCGUAACGAUGAGUGCUAGGUGUUGGGUCCUUUCCGGGACUCAGUGCCGCAGCUAACGCAUUAAGCACU